rnacentral:tRNA from 1 species
GCCCCCGUAGUUCAACGGAUAGAACGGACCCGUCCUAAGGGUUUGAUGUCAGUUCAAUUCUGGCCGGGGGCAUCA